rnacentral:tRNA from 1 species
GGGGAUGUGGCUCAGUGGUAGAGCACUCACCUAGCAUGUGCGAGGCCCUGGGUUCAAUAAAAAUUGAACCACAUAAAAAUAAAUAAAUAAAUAAAGUUAUUGUGACCAAAUACAACUAAAAAAUAAAUAUAAAAAAAAAAAGCAGAGGCUGGGGAUGUGGCUUCAAGUGGUAACGUGCUUGCCUGGUAUGCGUGAGGCACUGGGUUCGAUUCUCAGCACCACA